rnacentral:misc_RNA from 1 species
AAGGACACCAUGUCAAGUCAAUGGCUUACAGUAAAGUUCCCUCGCAAAAAGCGUCAAAUACAAAAUCUUACGAAGAAUGCAAUCGACCCUGCUAAUAUAAGCAACCCAGGUAAAAACGUCAAAUUUAUGUAUACAGGAAUAGGUAAAUUCUUUAGUUCCCAUGAUUUCCUCUGAUCAAUGCUCCCCCAGUCCUAAACAAUUUGCUACUACUGUUGUUUUGCAAAAUUCUGAUAAUUUUAGAAACUCCCCAGUUAUUCAGAACUACUCUCAGACUCUUCUAAGGAUUGAUAAGCAAAAUUUUGACAGUUCCUCGAUAAACAAAUUUGACAUCUUGAAAAAUAUGG